ACGCUGUUCACAAGCGGAACCAACCUCUCUUCGUUUCCUGUGGGUUAGGGAGGGAUCUCACUUCCACAUACUCCCUUAGUAGGCCAGUGGCUGAAGAAAUGCGGCGAGUUUAACACAUGCAGGCAGGACGCUGUCUCUUCAGGGCUGAAGGGUUCCGGGUAGAAUUGAAACCUGAACCGCUCUGCUUACACAAUGAGCAAACGUUUGAUGUUCGCCCUUAUUGUUUUCACUCUAUAUCCAGGUGCGGUGCUGGGUGACUCGGUCCAGCAAAGGGAGCCCCAGAUGUCUGGAGCUGAAGGCGUGUCCGUGAUUCUCAGAUGUUUUUAUGAAACCAGCUACACUGCUGGUGUCUAUCUAUACUGGUACCGUCAGUACCCGAACCGAGCCCCGCAGUACAUCCUGCGGAGAGGAACGAAGGAAGCCAGAUCUGGCAGUGAUACCGUAGAUUUCGCCCAGCAGAGGUUUUCUUCCCAAGCUGAUGGCAACUCCACUGCUCUGACCAUCACAGCCCUGGAGCUGGCGGACACAGCGGUGUAUUACUGCGCCCUGCAGCGAGCACAGUGA